rnacentral:miRNA from 12 species
GGAUAACCCAAAGAAGCCUGUAUGCUUGCUUUUGGCUGAGCUUGCUGGCUACUAUAACUCUUAUUCAUCAAUCAGCUUUUCAGGUGGGGAAGC